rnacentral:rRNA from 1 species
AGACCCGAAACCCGGUGAUCUAGCCAUGGGCAGGUUGAAGGUUGGGUAACACUAACUGGAGGACCGAACCGACUAAUGUUGAAAAAUUAGCGGAUGACCUGUGGCUGGGGGUGAAAGGCCAAUCAAACCGGGAGAUAGCUGGUUCUCCCCGAAAGCUAUUUAGGUAGCGCCUCGUGAAUUCAUCUCCGGGGGUAGAGCACUGUUUCGGCUAGGGGGCCAUCCCGGCUUACCAACCCGAUGCAAACUGCGAAUACCGGAGAAUGUUAUCACGGGAGACACACGGCGGGUGCUAACGUCCGUCGUGAAGAGGGAAACAACCCAGACCGCCAGCUAAGGUCCCAAAGUCAUGGUUAAGUGGGAAACGAUGUGGGAAGGCCCAGACAGCCAGGAUGUUGGCUUAGAAGCAGCCAUCAUUUAAAGAAAGCGUAAUAGCUCACUGGUCGAGUCGGCCUGCGCGGAAGAUGUAACGGGGCUAAACCAUGCACCGAAGCUGCGGCAGCGAACGUAUCACCCAAGACAACUUUACGGAGUUGACGAUUGACGGAGCGAAGCGACGUCAAAGCGUUCAUUAAAGUCAAGUUGGCUUAGGGAUACGUUCGUUGGGUAGGGGAGCGUUCUGUAAGCCUGUGAAGGUGUGUCGUGAGGCAUGCUGGAGGUAUCAGAAGUGCGAAUGCUGACAUAAGUAACGAUAAAGCGGGUGAAAAGCCCGCUCGCCGGAAGACCAAGGGUUCCUGUCCAACGUUAAUCGGGGCAGGGUGAGUCGACCCCUAAGGCGAGGCCGAAAGGCGUAGUCGAUGGGAAACGGGUUAAUAUUCCCGUACUUGGUGUUACUGCGAAGGGGGGACGGAGAAGGCUAUGUUGGCCGGGCGACGGUUGUCCCGGUUUAAGCGUGUAGGUGUGUGUUCCAGGUAAAUCCGGUUCACUUUAACACUGAGGCGUGACGACGAGGCACUACGGUGCUGAAGCAACAAAUGCCCUGCUUCCAGGAAAAGCCUCUAAGCAUCAGGUAACACGAAAUCGUACCCCAAACCGACACAGGUGGUCAGGUAGAGAAUACCAAGGCGCUUGAGAGAACUCGGGUGAAGGAACUAGGCAAAAUGGUGCCGUAACUUCGGGAGAAGGCACGCUGACACGUAGGUGAAGUGAUUUACUCAUGGAGCUGAAGUCAGUCGAAGAUACCAGCUGGCUGCAACUGUUUAUUAAAAACACAGCACUGUGCAAACACGAAAGUGGACGUAUACGGUGUGACGCCUGCCCGGUGCCGGAAGGUUAAUUGAUGGGGUCAGCG